UACGUAGGUGGCAAGCGUUGUCCGGAUUUACUGGGCGUAAAGAGCGCGCAGGCGGUCGUUCAAGUCGAGUGUGAAAGCCCCCGGCUCAACUGGGGAGGGUCACUCGAUACUGAUCGACUCGAAGGCAGAAGAGGGAAGCGGAAUUCCCGGUGUAGGUGGUGAAAUGCGUAGAUAUCGGGAGGAACACCAGUGGCGAAGGCGGCUUCUGGGUCUGCUCUUGACGCUGAGGCGCGAAAGCUAGGGUAGCAAACGGG
rnacentral:rRNA from 1 species